rnacentral:rRNA from 1 species
CCAAUAGCGUAUAUUAAAGUUGUUGCAGUUAAAAAGCUCGUAGUUGAAUUUCGGGAUCAUCAGGUUGGUCGUGCCUCUGGUAUGUACUGAUUUCGAUGGUCCCUCCUUCUUGAAGAGCCGUAAUGCCAUUAAUUUGGUGUUGCGGGGAAUCAGGACUGUUACUUUGAAAAAAUUAGAGUGUUUAAAGCAGGCAAUCGCUUGAAUACAUUAGCAUGGAAUAAUGAAAUAGGACGUUCGAUCCUAUUUUGUUGGUUUCUAGGAUUGACGUAAUGAUUAAUAGGGAUAGUUGGGGGCAUUAGUAUUCAAUUGUCAGAGGUGAAAUUCUUGGAUUUAUUGAAGACGAACUACUGCGAAAGCAUUCGCCAAGGAUGUUUUCAUUAAUCAGUGAACGAAAGUUAGGGGAUCGAAGACGAUCAGAUACCGUCGUAGUCUUAACCAUAAACUAUGCCGACUAGGGAUCGGAUGAUGUUAAUUUUUUAAUGACUCAUUCGGCGCCUUACG